rnacentral:tRNA from 1 species
GGAAAGGUGGCUCAGAGGUUAAGAGCACUGGCUGCUCUUCCAGAGGUCCUGAGUUCAAUUCCCAGCUACCG